ensembl:lncRNA
GGCGCGGCGCGGUUCCCCGCGGUUGGGAGCAGCAGCCAGCAGGCUGCCAGAGAUCCAACUGCACCUUGCAGCACACAGAGGGACGCGACAGGGACGGACCGUCCUUCCUGCCGUGCAAAAGGACAGAGCCUGCGCGUCCAUGGAGUGGUGCUGAGUAUGGGGGGAAACGGAAAGCCUGCGCAGAAGCUGACACGAGCGGCCUUCCAGCAAAGCGCAGCCUUGCAGAAAGGCAAGGCAGAAGCGCCCAGUGUGGCACAGCACCGAAGAGAGAGAUUGGUGCUGAGCAAAAUGGCAAAAUCUAUGUGAAAGUGGUGCUGCAGGUCCAUUCUGAGAGAUCUUGUCGACAAGCAGCAGCUCAAGCUCCUCACCAGGCUGGAGGGCUUCCUAGAAGAGCAGGUCCCAGCACAGGGGGAAGACCUUCCCCUGCCGCGUGCCCCCGCUCUGUCUCCAACACCCUGGCUGGAUGCAAACGCAAGGGCUUGGAAGAAGAGGAACCAACCGCAGCACAGCUGCCCACCAAUAAGAGAGUGAGGGGGCAGAGCGGAGACAGCGUGCCGGCUCCAGCAGCACACCCUGGGCCUGCUGCAGCGCGGAGCUCCAAGCAAAGAGCAAGAAGGCGGCGACAAAAAGAGAGGAGGGUGGAGCUGAAGAAGGCUGCCCUCAGAGCUGCCGCUGCACGUGCAGAGGCCUCCGCAGUGAACAGCCUCGUGGAGAUGAUGCAGAAGCUGCAGCUGAAGGACUGAGAGGAGGAGCGUCAGCAGGUAGCGGCUGCAGUGCGCGGCGUUACAGGGCAGCGCUGAGUGCCGCCCAUCUCAGCCCUCCACCUUCACACGUAGCCAAUAAAAACCAGUCACAAUGAGAG